UGGGGAAUCUUGCACAAUGGGCGAAAGCCUGAUGCAGCAACGCCGCGUGCGGGAAGACAGCCCUAGGGUUGUAAACCGCUUUCAGCAGGGAAGAAACUGACGGUACCUGCAGAAGAAGAUGCGGCCAACUACGUGCCAGCAGCCGCGGUGACACGUAGGCAUCAAGCGUUAUCCGGAUUUAUUGGGCGUAAAGAGCUCGUAGGCGGUUCGGUAAGUCGGGUGUGAAAACUCUGGGCUCAACCCAGAGAGGCCACUCGAUACUGCUGUGACUAGAGUGCGGUAGGGGAGCGGGGAAUUCCUGGUGUAGCGGUGAAAUGCGCAGAUAUCAGGAGGAACACCAGUGGCGAAGGCGCCGCUCUGGGCCGUAACUGACGCUGAGGAGCGAAAGCAUGGGUAGCAAACAGGAUUAGAUACCCUGGUAGUCCAUGCCGUAAAACGUUGGGCACUAGGUGUGGGUCUCAACCAACGAGAUCCGCGCCGUCGCUAACGCAUUAAGUGCCCGCCUGGGAGUACGGUCGCAA
rnacentral:rRNA from 1 species